UACAGAGGUCUCAAGCGUUGUUCGGAUUCAUUGGGCGUAAAGGGUGCGUAGGCGGCGCGGUAAGUCGGAUGUGAAAUCUCGGAGCUUAACUCCGAAACUGCAUUCGAUACUGCCGUGCUUGAGGACUGGAGAGGAGACUGGAAUUUACGGUGUAGCGGUGAAAUGCGUAGAUGUCGUAAGGAAGACCAGUGGCGAAGGCGGGUCUCUGGACAGUUCCUGACGCUGAGGCACGAAGGCCAGGGGAGCAAACGGG
rnacentral:rRNA from 1 species